rnacentral:misc_RNA from 1 species
GUGAAUCAUCAAAUUUUUGAACGCAAAUUGCACUCCCUGGUAUUCCAGGGAGUAUGCCUGUUUGAGGGUCGUUAGAUUAAUAAAUCGAUGUGUCGCUCUUUUUUUUAAGGGUGAUCGCGUUUGAAUUGAGCCGUCUUUCAAAUGUUAAUUCAUGUCAAAGUGGCUUGAAAUUCAUCCAUCCGUUACGAUUGAAGCGUAUUUAAGAUCAAUUGUUAUUGAUAACGCGCUACGACGUACCAUCUCAUGUAGUACGUUUGUCUUGGGUCA